UACGUAGGGGGCAAGCGUUGUCCGGAUUUAUUGGGCGUAAAGAGCGUGUAGGCGGUUUGGUAGGUCCGCUGUGAAAACUCGAGGCUCAACCUCGAGACGCCGGUGGAAACCAUCAGGCUAGAGUCCGGAAGAGGAGAGUGGAAUUCCUGGUGUAGCGGUGAAAUGCGCAGAUAUCAGGAAGAACGCCCGUGGCUAAGGCGGCUCUCUAGUACGGUACUGACGCUGAGACGCGAAAGCGUGGGGAGCGAACAGG
rnacentral:rRNA from 1 species